rnacentral:lncRNA from 10 species
AGGAGCGCGCAAGGCUUGCUACGGGCAGAGUUGUCCCGGUGGCCCGGAGUUCCAGCCUCUGUCCAGCAUGGCCUCACUGAGUUCGCGGAGCUUCUAAUGCCACGCGGGCGUCAGGUGCAUUCAUUUCACCCCGGAGAUCUGAAGAAGAAGAGUUUAUCUGCAUUCCCCUUCCUUCCUGCUUCCCACCUCCAAAGCCCGCCACUGAUCCUGCGAAUAAGUUUGCCCUGAAGUGUGGAAUAUCCCAUUCCUGCACAACUCGGUUCUACACCCCCUCCCCCGUGGGAUUCAGAGUGGCAAGAGGAAAAACAGCAAGUCCAACUCCACAGGUUUGUAAGGAGCAGCCAGCUUUGAUUUGCCCUGCACGUCAUAGCUCAGAAAGUUUUGCUGCUCAUACAAUCCUCAGCAAAGACCAUCCAUUCAUUCCGGGAUUCCCCCAGCUCAUGGACACAGGCCCCCCAGAUGGAAGAAAGGAGUGAAAUUCUGAUAUAUGAUACAAUGUGGAUGAACCUUGAAGACAUUGUGCUAAGUAAACUAAGCUUGUUGGCCGGGCACAGUGAGUGGCUCAGGCCUGUAAUCCCAGCACUUUGGGAGGCUGAAGCGAACAGAUGACUUGAGGCCAAGAGUUCAAGAUCAGCCUGGCCAAUAUGGUGAAACCCCAUCUCUACAAAAAAAAUACAAAAAUUAGCCAGGUGUGAUGGCAUGCCCCUCUAAUCCUAGUUACUUGGAAGGCAGAGGCAGGAGAAUCACUUGAACCUGGGAGGCAGAGGUUGCAGUGAGCUGAGAUUGUGCCACUGCACUCCAGCCUGGGUGACAAGAGCAAGACUCCAUCUCAAGAAAAGCAAAACAAAACAAAAACACAUGAAACUUUUAUGGUCUCAACUGCUUUAAAAUGAAAUCUAAGUUUCCUUAUAUGACUCCAAGCAACUAUGUGAUCUAUGUCCUUGCCUCUGUCUCCAAUCUCAUCAUAUAUCACUCCCCUCCUCACUCAUUAUCUUCGGCCACUGUGGUCCCAUUGUUUGUGUUGCUGUCCACUUUCCUGCCUGGAAUACACUUCACUAGUGUUGAAGGUUUAUUUUUGUCUUGUCUUUUAGGUCUCAGCUCAUGUCAUUCACUCAAAGAGGCACCCCUUUAACACAGUAGUUCUCAAGUAGGGGUAAUUUUGAUCCCCAGAGAUUGUUGGCAAUCUCUAGAAAGAUUUUUGAUAGUCACAACCCUAGGGACUGUUUGUUACUGGCAUGUAGUGGUUAGAGGCCACUACAUGCCUCUAGGGAUAUUACUAAAUAUCCUACAGUACACAGGACAGCGCCUUGCAAGAAAGAAUUAUCUAGCCCAAAAUGUCCAUAGUGCAGAGGUUGGGAAAUCCUACAAACAAUACUAUAAAUAACAUCCUACUUAAAAUGACUCUAUUUCAUUGCCCUGUUUAUUUAUUCACAAUGUGAAUUUAUUUAUUUUUUAUUUGUUAAUUCUCUACUUGUUCCACUACAAUAUAUGUUUCUUUUUUUUUUUUCGAGAUGGAAUCCUGCCUCUGCUUCCCAAAGUGCUGGGAUUAUAGGCAUGAGCCACCACGCCCGGC